AACGAACGCUGGCGGCAGGCCUAACACAUGCAAGUCGAGCGAAGCCUUCGGGCUUAGCGGCGGACGGGUGAGUAACGCGUGGGAACGUGCCCUUUGGUACGGAAUAGCCCCGGGAAACUGGGAGUAAUACCGUAUGUGGUCGAGAGACGAAAGAUUUAUCGCCAAAGGAUCGGCCCGCGUUGUGAUUAGGUGGUUGGUGGGGUAAUGGCCUACCAAGCCGACGAUCCAUAGCUGGUUUGAGGGGAUGAGCAGCCACACUGGGACUGAGACACGGCCCAGACUCCUACGGGAGGCAGCAGUGGGGAAUCUUAGACAAUGGGGGAAACCCUGAUCUAGCCAUGCCGCGUGAUCGAUGAAGGCCUUAGGGUUGUAAAGAUCUUUCAGUGGGGAAGAUAAUGACUGUACCCACAGAAGAAGCCCCGGCUAACUCCGUGCCAGCAGCCGCCGUAAUAC
rnacentral:rRNA from 1 species